CACAAUGGGCGCAAGCCUGAUGCAGCCAUGCCGCGUGUGUGUAAGAAGGCCUUCGGGUUGUAAAGCAUUUCAGUUGUGAGGAAGGUGGUGUCGUUAAUAGCGGCAUCAUUUGACGUUAGCAACAGAAGAAGCACCGGCUAACUCCGUGCCAGCAGCCGCGGUAAUACGGAGGGUGCGAGCGUUAAUCGGAAUUACUGGGCGUAAAGCGCAUGCAGGUGGUUUGUUAAGUCAGAUGUGAAAGCCCGGGGCUCAACCUCGGAACUGCAUUUGAAACUGGCAGACUAGAGUACUGUAGAGGGGGUAGAAUUUCAGGUGUAGCGGUGAAAUGCGUAGAGAUCUGAAGGAAUACCGGUGGCGAAGGCGGCCCCCUGGACAGAUACUGACACUCAGAUGCGAAAGCGUGGGGAGCAAACAGGAUUAGAUACCCUGGUAG
rnacentral:rRNA from 1 species